rnacentral:rRNA from 1 species
AGAGUUUGAUCAUGGCUCAGAUUGAACGCUGGCGGUAGGCUUAACACAUGCAAGUCGAACGGUAACAGAAAGUAGCUUGCUACUUUGCUGACGAGUGGCGGACGGGUGAGUAAUGCUUGGGUAUCUGCCCUGUUGUGGGGGAUAACAGUUGGAAACGACUGCUAAUACCGCAUAAUAUCUACGGAUCAAAGGGCCUCUUCUUGAAAGCUAUCGCGAUAGGAUGAACCCAAGUGGGAUUAGCUUGUUGGUGAGGUAAUGGCUCACCAAGGCGACGAUCCCUAGCUGGUCUGAGAGGAUGAUCAGCCACACUGGAACUGAGACACGGUCCAGACUCCUACGGGAGGCAGCAGUGGGGAAUAUUGCACAAUGGGCGAAAGCCUGAUGCAGCCAUGCCGCGUGUGUGAAGAAGGCCUUCGGGUUGUAAAGCACUUUCAGUUGGGAGGAAAGGUUGUUGGUUAAUAUCCAACAACUGUGACGUUACCAACAGAAGAAGCACCGGCUAACUCCGUGCCAGCAGCCGCGGUAAUACGGAGGGUGCGAGCGUUAAUCGGAAUUACUGGGCGUAAAGCGUACGCAGGCGGUUGGUUAAGCGAGAUGUGAAAUCCCCGGGCUCAACCUGGGAACUGCAUUUCGAACUGGCCAACUAGAGUAUUGGAGAGGGGAGUGGAAUUUCUGGUGUAGCGGUGAAAUGCGUAGAGAUCGGAAGGAACAUCAGUGGCGAAGGCGGCUAUCUGGACCAAUAUUGACGCUGAGGUGCGAAAGCGUGGGGAGCAAACAGGAUUAGAGACCCUGGUAGUCCACGCCGUAAACGAUGUCAACUAGCCGUUGGGGGGCUUGUCCUUUAGUGGCGCAGCUAACGCAUUAAGUUGACCGCCUGGGGAGUACGGCCGCAAGGCUAAAACUCAAAUGAAUUGACGGGGGCCCGCACAAGCGGUGGAGCAUGUUGUUUAAUUCGAUGCAACGCGAAGAACCUUACCAUCCCUUGACAUCCUAGGAACUUGGUAGAGAUACCUUGGUGCCUUCGGGAACCUAGUGACAGGUGCUGCAUGGCUGUCGUCAGCUCGUGUCGUGAGAUGUUGGGUUAAGUCCCGUAACGAGCGCAACCCUUAUCCUUAUUUGCCAGCGAGUAAUGUCGGGAACUCUAAGGAGACUGCCGGUGACAAACCGGAGGAAGGCGGGGACGAGGUCAAGUCAUCAUGGCCCUCACGGGAUGGGCUACAAACGUGCUACAAUGGGGGGCACAAAGGGCUGCAAACUCGCGAGAGUAAGCGAAUCCCAAAAAACCCCUCGUAGUCCGGAUAGGAGUCUGCAACUCGACUCCUUGAAGUCGGAAUCGCUAGUAAUCGCGAAUCAGAAUGUCGCGGUGAAUACGUUCCCGGGCCUUGUACACACCGCCCGUCACGUCAUGGAAGUGGGUUGCACCAGAAGUAGCUAGUCUAACCUUAGGGAGGACGGUUACCACGGUGUGAUUCAUGACUGGGACGAAGUCGUAACAAGGUAGCCGUAGGGGAACCUGCGGCUGGAUCACCUCCUU